rnacentral:lncRNA from 1 species
CUCAGAGGUAAACUCAUCACUAACAAAAAACCUUCAAGAGAGUGUACAAACAGUUGAGAAAAACCAAAUCAGACCUACUAAAUGGUCAUCGAACCACAAAGAUUUCUCAAUAAACGUAACCUAGCCCACAAGACUAGACAAAACCUUUCCAAGAACACAAUACAGGUUUAUCAGCCACAAUCAAGGUCUAAAACACUGUACUAACGUUCUACCAUCAUCAGAUAACUAUAAGAUUAUUACAAAAAACACCAAAGCUCUCCAAAUCUAAGAAGAAAAGAAGAAGCAGAGGCGAGAGAACCAGAGAGAGAGAAAACCCAAGAGACAAUUUCAUCCAAAAGAGAGUGACCGACUGAUUGAUUUCCACCAACCCUCAAAAGUCCUCAAGGCAUUAAUUAUGGAAGAAUAAAUCUCAGCCUUAGGAUUAGAUCAACGGUCUACAAUAGUCAAGAGAAUGCACAACUCAAGUGACCACUUAUUAUCCAAUGCUAAAGUGCCAACUGUCCAUAGGAAUACAAGUGGGAAAAAAUGCAUUUUCACUUAUGAAAGUGUGGUUUGAGAAACACGACUCCACAAAUCUUCACCUUGGUUCUCAAAUCAUGCACUUCCUCUCUUGUAGCUAUAAUGCUAGUGACAGAACCAUACCCUACAUCAUCGCCCAAGUACCUGCACAAAAAAUCAACCUGUAUCAAUACUAAGCAAUGAUAAACAAGAUCUGAAUUUAUUAACAGGCAGUAUUUUAGUCCCCAUAUUAGCAGGGUUAAAGUUAGUAUGAAUUUUCUCAAGAACCAUUUCACCAGAUGAGAGUUUUUCUCUUAUGAAAUUAUACUUCACUUCAAUGUGUUUUGACCUUUCAUGAUAGACAAGAUUUUUGCUUAAAAAUAGAGCACUUUGACUAUCAGUUAAUAUCACAGUUGGAGUAUUCAGAAAAUUUAGUUCAGUCUAGAUCCCUUUAAGCUAUAUGCAUUCUUUUACACAUUCAGUAAUUGCCAUAUAUUUGGCUUCAGUGCUGGACAAAUUUACAAUUGAUUGAAGUUGAGACUUCCACAUAAUGCAAUUAUCACCAAGUGUAAAAAAGAAGGCAGUUGUAGACUUUCUUUGAUCUUUAUCUCCAGUGAAAUCAGAAUCUACAUAACCUUUAAGAGUUAAUGGUUCCAAUCCCUUUUUGAACACCAAUUCUACAUUUAGUGUCCCACCUAUGUAUCUAAAUAGCCACUUUAACCAAACCCAGCAUGGUUUCCCAAGGUAUGCCAUAAACUUACUUAAAAAACUGAUUGAAUAUGCAAGAUUUGGUCGUGUUGUAAUCAUGGAAAACAUAACAGAUCCAAAAGCAUUGGCAUAUGGAAUAUUUGUCAUCUCUUUAAUCUCAGAUUCAGUUUUAGGACACUAGGCAGAUGAGAGAUUCGCAUGGGCAGCAAGGGGAACAUUGACGGACUUAGCGUCUUUCACGCCAAACUUCGUUAUAACUUUGUGUAGGUAGGGCUCUUGUGAUAUAGUUAGCAUAUUUUCUUACUUAUUUUGAUUUAUCACCAUCCCUAGAAAAAAUUUGGCAUUUCCUAAGUCCUUCAUAUCAAAUUUAGACCUUAAUAAGUUUUCAAGCCUCAUUAUUUCAGCUUUACUAGGGCUCACCAGAAG